GACGAACCGUGCGAACGUUGUUCGGAAUCACUGGGCUUAAAGGGCGCGUAGGCGGUUUGCCAAGUCAGGGGUGAAAUCCUGCAGCUCAACUGUAGAAGUGCCUUUGAUACUGGCGAACUCGAGGGAGGUAGGGGUGCGUGGAACUUCUGGUGGAGCGGUGAAAUGCGUUGAUAUCAGAAGGAACGCCGGUGGCGAAAGCGACGCACUGGACCUUUUCUAACGCUGAGGCGCGAAAGCUAGGGGAGCAAACGGG
rnacentral:rRNA from 1 species